rnacentral:misc_RNA from 1 species
UAAGGAGGGGGCAAUCGUUGUUCGGAAUUACUGGGCGUAAAGCGCACGUAGGCGGACUGGAAAGUUGGGUGUGAAAUCCCGGGGCUCAACCUCGGAACUGCAUCCAAAACUAUCAGUCUGGAGUUCGAGAGAGGUGAGUGGAAUUCCGAGUGUAGAGGUGAAAUUCGUAGAUAUUCGGAGGAACACCAGUGGCGAAGGCGGCUCACUGGCUCGAUACUGACGCUGAGGUACGAAAGCAUGGGGAGCAAACAGG